rnacentral:tRNA from 1 species
GUGGCUAUGGUGAAGUGGUAACACGGCGGAUUGUGGCUCCGUUAUUCGAGGGUUCGAACCCCUCUAGUCACCCCA